rnacentral:rRNA from 1 species
AUGAAGCCAAAGCAGUGGCUUUCAAAAAUUGUUAUUGAGACUAGAAUCAUACACAUCAUGGAUAACUUACCAGAAGGGUCAAAGAAAGUUGUCAUUCCACUGAGGUUUUCUAUCAAUUUACAGCAUGGGAUCUUCAAUGUGAAUGAGGUAAACAAGAAGUUUGAAUACAAGAACCGUCUUGACAAGAAAGAUUUGGUCAAGAUGCUAGUGCUUGAGUGCAAUAAUGUAAAUGACCGCAAAGGAGGCAGGCAUUAUUGGGUCUUCAACAUCAACCUGAGGGACAGACGUUUUGAAGUCUUUGAUUCAAACAGGAAGCUAGAAGACAUUGAGUUGAUGAACACCGCCUCUACAAUUGCGGGGGCAGUACGCCAGCUAUGGAGGAAGCAUUAG